rnacentral:lncRNA from 1 species
CUUGUACACACAACUGAGAUGUGCUGUAGUGUUCAACACCUUUUCCUUUAACAGGCUUAACCAUUGCCGCUUAAAGGCAGAAUGUUCCUUUAAAACGAUGCGUGCUCUUCGUGUGUUUAAGCUCUUCGAAAUGCUCCAUCGCAGCAUGUCGGCUUCUCAUUGAGAUUGUUCUGUUUCAAUGCCAUUUAAGUGAAAGUGACAAGACGCCACUUCCCGCACAACGUGUACACUGCAGCAAUACUAUGGGUCUCGGAUCAGCCGAAUCUCUUUUAAAAUCAGCUGCAGAAAGAAAACAUUACCAUCAUCGAAAACAUUUUCACGCCACGCAGAAACGAACGAGAUUCGGAAUGGAUGGCCAUCUCGGGUUUAUCGGAACGAUUUCUCUCUACAAAGAUAAAAGAUACGGAUCUGUUUUAUUUGAUGUCAGUCCUACCACAGGACGGGAGGAGAACUGAUGGAAGCUCUUGCUGCAGACAGUGUGAGAAGCCCAACAAGUGCAAGAUCAAGAUCAAGAGAAAAAUCUCCCACAGAAUUCACUCAGAGGAGAAGAUCAUAACCUGUGAUCUGGUGUGAGAUGCUUUCGAUUCUGUUCUUUUUACUGCUCUGUAUUACCAGAAGCUGAUAUGCCGCAUUUUAACCAAGUAUUCCUUGUUGUUUGCUGGUGUUUUCUUUAUUAAAAAUCACCAGAUAUUUCUGGACUCCUGCACUCUAGCAGAGCAUAAGGUUGUUCAUGUAAGUAUUUUCAGCAUAUGAAUAUACAGCAGCUUCUGUAUUUUAAUGAAUGACAAAAAUCCCCCCAAAACAGAACAUUUCAAAAGAAAUGCUAAGAGAUUAUUAUAAAUUAUGAUUACGCAAGAUGAUAAUCUGUUGCUAGUCUAAAAAAAAUACUUUAACAUUCCAGUUAACAUAACGGGCUACUACAAACAUCGAAUUCUAAACCAUUAAAGUGAUUUAUUUGAUACUUCAGACUAUAUUAGGUUAUAACUGUCUUCUAAGUGUUUAAUUCUUUGGUUUAGUACUGUAUAGUAUGUCUCUUAAAACAUAAAAUAUUUUCAAAACAAUGAAAUCCUGUUAAAUUGCUAACACAACUCAAAGGUUAAAAUAAUGCAUAAUCAUAAAGAUUUAAUUAUUUAACUAAGUGCACAAUUAAUAUACAUUUAAUUUUGUAAUUUUUGGGGAGUAGGACCAAGUUCUCUAUAAAAAUAAAAAUGCAGUUAAUUGGAUAUUUUUGCUUUAAUACAAAAAUAGAAAGGGAUAUGAGACAGAACAGCUUUUGUAAAAUUAUUCCCAAUUUUUUAGACAUAACCACGUCUUUUUAGUUUUAGUAAUUAAUAUGCAUAAUCAAAAUAUUCAUUCAGAUUUCAUCAUAUUUUUUAGAAGUGUUCAUACCAAGGCAUAUUAGUGUUCUUAACAUCUACAAAAAACAUGUGACAGUCGAGCUGUGACAAAUACAACUGGUUAUGGUUCAAGCAAGACAAGGCACAUUAGAUGGUGCAUUGUCACUCGUAAUCUGAGUGCUGGAGUGCCCAGGCUUUUGGAUUCGUACUUAAAUUCAAGGUGAUAACAUCAAUCAUUAAGUCUUAUGUUGGCAACAGAUAGGUUAGCAUCUGGAUCCUUGUGCAGUGCCUGUGGAAACAUGUGUAGGUGGAGCUACUGUUGUGGCAGUUUGUUGUGUGAGAAAUUGAUUCUCGGCAUGUGCUCAAAGAAUCGUUUAUUCGGAGAUAGCAACCAUUAAAACAGCAGGAUUCUGAGACAGUCUCAGACUUGCCAGAUUUAGUAACUAGUGUAGGAAAUUUGAAUAAAGAAAAAUACUCUGUAAGCAGUCAGAUAAUUCUGCAGAUAAUCUCUUAAUUUUAGUAUGGGCAUUGUGCUCUCUUAAUUGCUUUAACUGUUAGUGCACAGAGGUCUUUCCAGUUUUUUAGCUGAAGAGCUCAGAGACAAAGUAAUGAUAAUUUUUGGGAGAAAAAUGGAAUGAGGAACUAAAUGGGAUGGGAACUAAACAGUAAUAAGUAUCACAUUCAAGAAAGCUGGUCUGACACUAUAACAAGCUAAACAACAAAAAUAUCCUGUCUGAAUUAUCUUUCUAAUAUUGAAAAGUUUGGAACAAGAUAACUUGUUUCAUCUACCAGGCAAACUGGUUUUUAUUUCAAUCUCUACCUUCAGUCAACUGGAAAAAAAUAACAAAAAUUCAGUUCAGCUCUUUAUUUUUGACCAUACUAGAAGCUAUUUUUUUAAUUAACCAAUGUUGAAUUAACUCAUAAAAGGAAAAAGGAAGCUUUCAAACAGCAAAGACAUCAUUUUUAACAGUGACUGUGAACAUUGAUGAGACAGAAUAAUUAUACUGAUGCACAAUGAAAAUGCAGUGUGAUGUCGGUGACCCAUUAAGCACAUAAUUGAUUUUAUUUAUGUUUUAA